rnacentral:rRNA from 1 species
CCUACGGGCGGCUGCAGUAAGGAAUAUUGGACAAUGGAGGCAACUCUGAUCCAGCCAUGCCGCGUGAAGGAAUAAGGCCCUAUGGGUUGUAAACUUCUUUUAGACGGGACAAAACCCCUUUACGUGUAAAGGGUUGAUGGUACUGUCAGAAUAAGCAUCGGCUAACUUCGUGCCAGCAGCCGCGGUAAUACGAAGGAUGCAAGAGUUAUUGGGAAUAAUUGGGUUUAAGGCGGACGUAGGCGGCCGGAUAGAAAGCCUGCAGCUUAACUGCAGAAUUGCCGUUGAUACUGUCAGUCUUGAGUACAGUUGAGGUAGGCGGAAUGUGUCAUGUAGCGGUGAAAUGCUUAGAUAUGACACAGAACACCGAUUGCGAAGGCAGCUUGCUAAGCUGUAACUGACGCUGAGGCACGAAAGCGUGGGGAGCAAACAGGAUUAGAUACCCCUGUAGUC